GUGUCAGCCGCCGCGGUAAUACGUAGGGAGCGAGCGUUAUCCGGAUUUAUUGGGUGUAAAGGGUGCGUAGACGGGAAGGCAAGUUAGUUGUGAAAUCCCUCGGCUUAACUGAGGAACUGCAACUAAAACUAUCUUUCUUGAGUGCUGGAGAGGAAAGUGGAAUUCCUAGUGUAGCGGUGAAAUGCGUAGAUAUUAGGAGCAACACCAGUGGCGAAGGCGACUUUCUGGACAGUAACUGACGUUGAGGCACGAAAGUGUGGGGAGCAAACAGGAUUAGAAACCCCGGUAGUCC
rnacentral:rRNA from 1 species